UCUCCACAAUGGCCAAGACCAGAGAGCUGUGUUGGAGGGCAAACAGCAGGGGACGAACAAGACCCCAGUUGUGUACUGACCCGAAUGAGGUAUGCAGCAGCCAGCGUAGCGCUGCGGGAGCGUCCAGCCUUGCAGUGGACGUACACGCUGGUUCCCUGCUCUCGGUGUUGCAGGGCAAACUCCACGCCUCGGUGCAGGUUCUCCAGGCUGGGAACGCCGGUGAGGUCAACGGUGCUCAACCUAAGCUGCACCACCCCUGCAGCCCGCCACUCCUGCAGCCAGCAUCAAGCACAUCAAAUCAACUUGUCAUUUAAGAAUGACUGGAAUUUGUAGAGGAAGAGGCCGACCUUAGUACUGUUUACAGUUAGAAAUCAACCUGUGGUGCUCAACAGUCUGGUUUCCAGAUCUCAGUAGCACUUUUAUGUUUACCAUGGGUCCAGGAUGUCUGGUUACACCUCACUCUGAGGUGUACAAUUGUCAUGUCCUGCCCCAAUGGAAGUGUUAAACCAAUCUAAGGGUGAAUGUCACAAUUAUCAAUUUAUCUGGUGAUUUAUUUUGUUGAUUAAUGCAAAAGAAACUACUUUAACAAUCAAUUGUUGAAUGGCUAAUCAAUGCUAUAAUCCAAUCACCUGUAAAUCAGCUGAUUUAUUUCACCUGACAUAAUCAGAAAUAAACACUUGGAUGAGAUGUGGGUGAAGGAAACAGUAAAAUUGACACUUUAAAACUG